UCUUCCUUGAGAUCCUAAAAUUGCAAUGGGUGGGACUGUGGCUGGCUUGGUUAUUACUGUCACCUCAGGACCUAGCUGUGUCUGGCAGGUAGAAGUUGCUUAUUUGAUGUUUGCUGAACCAAAGGAAUGCCUACCUCCACCCUGCACAGUAUGUUCCCCCUGCCUGGGCCACCAUACUUUCUAGGCUUAUUAGCUGCGUGACCUUGGACAAGUUACUGGGUAUCUGCUUCAGUUUUCUCAUUUGUAAAAUGGCACCAAAAAUAGUAUGUAAUUCAGGAAGGAUUAAAGAAAACAGUACCUAAUUAAAUGAUUGAAGAAGAAAAGAGUGCACAGCACUGAAACCAGCAUAUUUCUCCUCAUUCAUUCCUGGGCCACCUCAAGCCAGCCUUCCCCUCAGCCAUGAUCACCAGAUAAUCAGAAUAUACUGUUCUGAUUGUUUCCACGACAAAGUCAUUUCCAAGUUUCUGAGACUAGAGCAAGACAACUGAAGGCAGCAAGCAGUCACUUCCCCAUCAGCUGGAGAGUCGAGGACGCUGGAACCAGAAAGCCCGUGGUGCAGGCUGGAGGUUACUUCGCCAUCUCCACGGCGUUAGGAUUCUAAGAACUCAAUCUCUUUAGAGUCUCAUCUCGUGCCUCUAGUCCAUGCUACCAGAAUCUGCAGCGGCUCUGACGGCGUCUGCACUGUGAACACAGCAAGAGCUUUGCAGCCUGGGUACCAAAGGCUUUUCUCCUUCCUGUUCUCUAGUGAACUAGGAAACUCCAGGAUCCUGACGGGACUCCCACUGAAGGAACGAAGACCAGCUCCCCAGACUUAUUAAAAAAGAAUGACAAUAGAUUUAAAGAGACUGAGCAGGAAGAUUUCUGAACCAAAACAAUUAUUGAAAAGAGAGGAGCAUUUUGAUGUGCUGUUCUUUGGAAUUUCUAUAAUUAAAAAAUAAACACAGAACUAUUUCAUAAGAAAAUACAUCUUAGUGUGCAAUCCAAUGCACAUGGAAAUUGGUAGAUGAAUGGCAAAAUGCAAAAAAGUAUGAAAAUACAGUCCUUUAAAUGCGGCAAUAAAGUUUAACAUACUGAUAUAAAAUCAAUACAGAUAAAAUAAAUGGACAAGUGCAAAAAAUUCAUCUGUAAA